rnacentral:rRNA from 1 species
AGUGAACGCUGGCGGUAGGCCUAACACAUGCAAGUCGAACGGCAGCACAGUAAGAGCUUGCUCUUACGGGUGGCGAGUGGCGGACGGGUGAGGAAUACAUCGGAAUCUACUUUUUCGUGGGGGAUAACGUAGGGAAACUUACGCUAAUACCGCAUACGACCUACGGGUGAAAGCAGGGGAUCUUCGGACCUUGUGCGAUUGAAUGAGCCGAUGUCGGAUUAGCUAGUUGGCGGGGUAAAGGCCCACCAAGGCGACGAUCCGUAGCUGGUCUGAGAGGAUGAUCAGCCAAACUGGAACUGAGACACGGUCCAGACUCCUACGGGAGGCAGCAGUGGGGAAUAUUGGACAAUGGGCGCAAGCCUGAUCCAGCCAUACCGCGUGGGUGAAGAAGGCCUUCGGGUUGUAAAGCCCUUUUGUUGGGAAAGAAAAGCAGCAGGUUAAUACCCCGCUGUUCCGACGGUACCCAAAGAAUAAGCACCGGCUAACUUCGUG